rnacentral:rRNA from 1 species
UACGUAGGGUGCAAGCGUUAAUCGGAAUUACUGGGCGUAAAGCGUGCGCAGGCGGUCUUGCAAGACAGAUGUGAAAUCCCCGGGCUUAACCUGGGAACUGCAUUUGUGACUGCAAGGCUGGAGUACGGUAGAGGGGGAUGGAAUUCCGCGUGUAGCAGUGAAAUGCGUAGAUAUGCGGAGGAACACCGAUGGCGAAGGCAGCCUCCUGGGAUAACACUGACGCUCAUGCACGAAAGCGUGGGGAGCAAACAGG